rnacentral:rRNA from 1 species
GACGAACGCUGGCGGCGUGCUUAACACAUGCAAGUCGAACGGAAAGACCUGCUUUCCCUUGUGGAUUGCGGAUCCUCGAGUGGGGAAGGGGUGAGUAAAACGUGAAUGUUCUGCCCCCAACUUGGGUCUAAAACCGGGAACCUGUGCCUAAUUACCUAUUGGACUGCAGGGUGGUGCCUGUGGUGGCAAACGUUUUUUUAGUGGUUGGGGAUGCGCCCGCGGCGUAUCAGCUUGUUGGUGGGGUAGUGGCCUACCAAGGCGGCGACGGGUAGCCGGCGGGUGAGGGUGGACGGUCACAUUGAGACUGGGACACGGCCCAGACUGCUACGGGAGGUAGCAGUGGGGAAGAUUGCACCAUGAGCGGGAGCCUGAUGCAGCGACGCCGUGUGGGAGAUGACCGGCUUAGGGUUGUAAGCUACUAGCGACCGCGAGGUAGCUACCUGGUUGGAAGGGUCGUGACGGUAGUUGUAGAAGAAGCACCGGCUAACUACGUG